rnacentral:rRNA from 1 species
CCACUAGUGUAUGCUUCUCCUAAAGACUAAGCCAUGCAUGUCUCCGAAUAGAAGAGCAAGUCUCUCUGAAUCUGCGAACGGCUCCGCAUACCAGUUGUAAACCAUAGCGAGCAAACCGUUACGGUGUCGCAAGGCAUCGCCGCGGUUAAUAAGGAUAACCCUGGUAAUUCUGAGGCUAAUACAAGAACGUACAACCCGUCCGACCCGCAAGGGGAGGGGGGGGAAUGUGUGACCAGGCACGCAAAUUCGAAACUGGGAGUGGCCACACGUUCAGACCGCCAUACCAAACAGUCGUUCGCUUCGAAAGUCCUCGUGACGAGUAACGGCGGGUUUCUGGGCGGCUCUCGCUGUGUGCUUCUGACCUAUCAACUAGAUGGCAGCGUAACGGACAUGCUAUGGUGACAACGGGUACAGAGGAUAAGGGUUCGAUCCUGGAGAGUGGGCCUGAGAGAUUGCUCACACUUCUAAGGAAGG